GACGAACCGAGCGACCGUUGUUCGGAAUCACUGGGCUUAAAGGGCGCGUAGGCGGGCCCGCCAGUCUGUGGUGAAAUCCUCCGGCUCAACCGGAGAACUGCCUCGGAUACUGCGGGUCUCGAGGGUGAUAGGGGUAUGCGGAACUAUCGGUGGAGCGGUGAAAUGCGUUGAUAUCGAUAGGAACUCCGGUGGCGAAGGCGGCAUACUGGAUCACUUCUGACGCUGAGGCGCGAAAGCCAGGGGAGCAAACGGG
rnacentral:rRNA from 1 species